rnacentral:rRNA from 1 species
UACAGAGACUGCAAGCGUUAUUCGGAUUCACUGGGCGUAAAGGGUGCGCAGGCGGUCGUGUGUGUCAGGUGUGAAAUCCCGGAGCUUAACUCCGGAACUGCGCCUGAAACUACAUGACUAGAGCAUUGGAGAGGGAAGUGGAAUUCAUGGUGUAGCAGUGAAAUGCGUAGAUAUCAUGAGGAACACCAGAGGCGAAGGCGACUUCCUGGACAAUUACUGACGCUCAGGCACGAAAGCAUGGGGAGCAAAAGGG